rnacentral:rRNA from 1 species
UACGUAGGUGGCAAGCGUUGUCCGGAAUUAUUGGGCGUAAAGCGCGCGCAGGUGGUUUCUUAAGUCUGAUGUGAAAGCCCACGGCUCAACCGUGGAGGGUCAUUGGAAACUGGGGAACUUGAGUGCAGAAGAGGAAAGUGGAAUUCCAAGUGUAGCGGUGAAAUGCGUAGAGAUUUGGAGGAACACCAGUGGCGAAGGCGACUUUCUGGUCUGUAACUGACACUGAGGAACGAAAGCCAGGGGAGCAAACGGG